rnacentral:tRNA from 13 species
AGCGCGGUGUGGCCGCCGGGCUUCAUGACCGUUGUGGGGCUGAU